rnacentral:rRNA from 1 species
UACGGAGGGUGCAAGCGUUAUCCGGAUUCACUGGGUUUAAAGGGCUCGUAGGUGGCCAACUAAGUCGGACGUGAAAUCCCUCGGCUUAACCGGGGAACUGCAUCCGAUACUGGAUGGCUUGAGUUCGGGAGAGGGAUGCGGAAUUCCAGGUGUAGCGGUGAAAUGCGUAGAUAUCUGGAGGAACACCGGUGGCGAAGGCGGCAUCCUGGACCGACACUGACGCUGAGGAGCGAAAGCCAGGGGAGCAAACGGG